rnacentral:rRNA from 1 species
GCCAUCCUUGGGAUACCACCCUUGUAGUACUGGGACUCUAACCAUAGGCCAUGAAUCUGGUCUUGGGACACUGUCAGGUGGGCAGUUUGACUGGGGCGGUCGCCUCCCAAAAGGUAACGGGGGCGCUCAAAGGUUCUCUCAGUACGGUCGGAAAUCGUACGUAGAGUGUAAAGGCAAAAGAGAGCUUGAUUGCAAGACAUACAGGUCGAGCAAGGAUGAAAAUCGGACUUAGUGAUCCGGUGGUUCUG